rnacentral:rRNA from 1 species
UACGAAGGGGGCUAGCGUUGCUCGGAAUCACUGGGCGUAAAGGGUGCGUAGGCGGGUCUUUAAGUCAGGGGUGAAAUCCUGGAGCUCAGCUCCAGAACUGCCUUUGAUACUGAGGAUCUUGAGUUCGGGAGAGGUGAGUGGAACUGCGAGUGUAGAGGUGAAAUUCGUAGAUAUUCGCAAGAACCCCAGUGGCGAAGGCGGCUCACUGGCCCGAUGCUGACGCUGAGGCACGAAAGCGUGGGAGCAAACAGG